rnacentral:lncRNA from 1 species
UAUCAAGCUGCCCUCCUGCACAAGAAGAAUAUCCUAAAAUAACAUGACUGGGAUCUCUACGGAAAGGACUCUAGAGAUAGUGCCCAGAGGAGGCAUAGCUCAAGCCCACCUCCUCCAGGAUGCCCUCCUGGCACAGGCCAUCUCAGCCUUUCUGAAGCACCCACACGUUUGACCUUGACCUCCACCCCAGCCUUUUUCCUAUCUGCCUGAGACAAGUGAGUGUGUCUCAAUGGGCUGUCUAGGCAAGAGGACCUUAAGGCCACCUCCUUGGAGCUCCCUGAAAACUCCUCUCCUGGAUGAGGCCACGAGAGGGACACCAGCUGGGCCAAGGGCACCCUGAGAUAUUGUGGGCAGAUGGGAGUUCCCCCCACCGAACUCCUUUGAAACGACUGACGCUGGAAGUCUGAACAAAGGCACCAGGCUUUAGAUUGCAUGGCACUGAUGCACAGGAGCGCUGCCGUGCAACGCUGCUGGGUUUGGGUCACAGCCUCACAGCGACGGGCUCGCCCUGCCCUCCCUGGACCCCUGGACAUUUCCAGCGCUGACAGCACUGUCUCCAGAGGUGCUGACCCAGGGCUUGGAGCCCUCAAAGCCCUGAGUGUCCCCUGUGCCGUAGCCCUCGUCAAGCUCCGUCACCCCAGGGCCCCUGUGCAAGUUCUUUUUUAGAACUCAAACAGCCUUGGGAGAGGUAACCUAUUAAGUGGCUGAGAAACAUUAAAAGCUGUUCAACUGCAUAACCCAGGACCUGAGUUGAAGUCUUCUUAGCUCAGCCAUUUCCUGGCUCUGUGACCUUGAGGCAGCAUUUAAUUCCAUGGAGUCCGCUUCCACUGGAGAAAAAUGGGAAUAUUGAAAGAACCCUGUGAGAGAGACUGGACUGGCAAGAAUUUGAGAUCAAAGAUAGAACAACACUUUGAAAACCACAUACCAUCGUACACCUGCAGAAGAAUAUUGUUUUCCUUGUUGUCCAAACAACUCGUGCAUUUCCAGGACCACUUUCAUGACAGGAGGGCAGAAGAAACCAUGGGGAGCAGGGGUGAUGAGACCUGGAGCAGGGACAUGGACCCACCAAGGGAAGGAAGGUUGGUGACAGGAAGUGAAAUGGCCGCUCCACAGAGCGUUGAUCCCAGCAUUUCUGUCUCUGGCGAGGGGGCUUUGCUUCAUACUUCAAACGUAACUCAGUCAGUCUCUCUCUCUUCUUUCCUCCUCUGCCUGCUCCUCCCCGUCUUCCUUCCUCUCCUUUUCCCUCCUUGCCU